AGUUCAGAUUGUGGGCUGAAACCCGCCCACAUGAAGCUGAAUUCGCUAGUAAUCCCGGAUCAGCAUGCCGGGGUGAAUCCGUUCCCGGGUCUUGUACACACCGCCCGUCACACCAUGAGAGUUGGCAAUACCCAACGUACGUGAUCUAACCCGCAAGGGAGGAAGCGUCCUAAGGUAGGGUCAGCGAUUGGGGUGAAGUCGUAACAAGGUAGC
rnacentral:rRNA from 1 species